rnacentral:lncRNA from 1 species
CGGUGGGGAGAUGAGGGGGUGAGUGCGGGACGCAGGCUGUGCCUCCCGCUGAUGGAGUGCUUCCUUGGCUCCAGGCUCCUCCAUCGCCUACUCUGAACACUGCCCAGAGUGAAGGGUCUGCACACCAUUCUUCUUGCACUCAGCCUCCAGUGGUCACCCCAGCAUGUGACACGCACGGUGAUCUGAGAAUCCUGAGCAGAAGUUUGAACGUCACCCAGCUUUC